ACGCUCGACACCUACGGGAGGCAGCAGUGAGGGAUAUUGGUCAAUGGGGGAAACCCUGAACCAGCAACGCCGCGUGAGGGAUGACGGUCUUCGGAUUGUAAACCUCUGUCCUCUGUGAAGAUAAUGACGGUAGCAGAGGAGGAAGCUCCGGCUAACUACGUGCCUGCAGCCGCGGUAAUCUGAGGCGGGCUGGCAAGGC
rnacentral:rRNA from 1 species